rnacentral:tRNA from 1 species
GCCACUAUAGCUCAAUUGGCAGAGCACUUCUCUUGUAAAGAAGAUGUUAUGGGUUCGAGUCCCAUUAGUGGCU